GACGAACGCUGGCGGCGUGCUUAACACAUGCAAGUCGAACGGAAAGGCCCUGCUUUUGUGGGGUGCUCGAGUGGCGAACGGGUGAGUAACACGUGAGUAACCUGCCCUUGACUUUGGGAUAACUUCAGGAAACUGGGGCUAAUACCGGAUAGGAGCUCCUGCUGCAUGGUGGGGGUUGGAAAGUUUCGGCGGUUGGGGAUGGACUCGCGGCUUAUCAGCUUGUUGGUGGGGUAGUGGCUUACCAAGGCUUUGACGGGUAGCCGGCCUGAGGGGGUGACCGGCCACAUUGGGACUGAGAUACGGCCCAGACUCCUACGGGAGGCAGCAGUGGGGAAUAUUGCACAAUGGGCGGAAGCCUGAUGCAGCAACGCCGCGUGCGGGAUGACGGCCUUCGGGUUAUAAACCGCUUUCGCCUGUGACGAAGCGUGAGUGACGGUAAUGGGUAAAGAAGCACCGGCUAACUACGUG
rnacentral:rRNA from 1 species